GUAUACAGCCACAUCACCCUGCAGCCCAAGACCAGUUACUCACUGAAGCUAAGCAGGGCUGAGCCUGGUCAGUACCUGGAUGGGAGACCACAUGGAAAAACUAGGAUGCUGUUGGAA
rnacentral:rRNA from 1 species